CAAACAACAAAAACUACUACCCUCAACUAUUAAAGCUACUACCACCAGCAAGAAAAGAUAUUACCGCCAGCAACAAAAACUAAUACCGCCAACAGCAAAAGCUAUUACCCCCAACUAUUAAAGCUACUACAGCCAGCAACAAAAGAUAUUAUCACCGACAACAAAAGCUACUACCCCUAACUAUAAAAGCCAUUACCGAUAACAAAAACUACUACCCAGCUACUACCGCUAGUAAACAAAAGCUAGUACUGAACAGAAUAAAAGCUAUUACUGAACAUAACAAAACCUACUACGAAACAGAGCUAAAACUAUUAACAAGCACGGUAUCAAAAACAAAACAAAACAAAAAAAACUUCUACCAAGCACCAAAACCUACGUACUCUCACCUCCACCAAAACCUACUACCAAACACAAUAACAACUACUCUGACCUCCGCUGAAACCUACUCUCACCUCCACCCAAAUCUACUACCAAACACAAACAAAAACUACUCUCACCUCCACCAAAACCCACUCUCACCCUCCCCCAAAACCUACUACCAACCAUAGCAAAAACUACUCUCACCUCCACCGAAACCUACUCUCACCUCCACCGAAACCUACUCUCGCCUCCGACGACCUCCUCUCUAGCAACGUCUUCGUCGACCUCCGGCAAGAGUUUCCGGUGACUUCCUGCGACUUCCGGAGAACGUAGUGGCUGGCUUCGCUGUGGUCACCGAGAGCAGAUCGGAAAACGUAAAUCUCCAAUGAGGAAUUGAGAUGGUUACAAAAGAAACAAAGAGAGGAAAUCUAAGAGAAACUGGACGAAUCUGAAGCACGAGCUCCUUUGAGAUCAGAAAAAACAGGAUUCUCAGCACCAAUAAUCAAGAGCACCGUCCGUCGCCUUGCAUCGGAGUCGAGGUGUUGGCGCGGUUUCUGGAGUCGAGGCGACGGCUCGCUGAGCUAUGAUCGCCGGAUCGGAGUCGAGACGUCGGCAUGCUGAGCUAUGAUUACCGGAUCGGAGUCGAGGUGUCGCCGCGGUCUAACUCCUCUGAAAUCUCCUCAGAAAACGCGCGCAAAUCUCGAGUGAGAGAGUCGACGGGAGAGGUGCGACAGAGCUCCGACGACGUUGAAUCGGCGAGGGGUNNNNNNNNNNNNNNNNNNNNAGAUUUUUUUUUUUUGAAAAUAGAGAGAAACUGAUUUGGAAAGGGAGGGUGAAAGACAGGAGGUAUUUUAGGUACAUCAAUAAAAACAAAAAGACAAAUUUAUAUUUGAAAAUGGACUUGUAUGAGUAAAAAUAUUAAGAUGGACUUGCAUGAAAGAAAAUGUUAAGAAGAUGACUUAUAUGAAAUUUUCUAUAUAAGUUUUCAAUCAUAAUCAUGAAAUUUGUUUCGUUCUUGAAGUUAAACUCAAGUCAUCAACAAAUCAACCGUACGACUACUACAAUCUAG
rnacentral:lncRNA from 1 species